UUUGGGCUCGAAUGCCCGGGCUCAGAUUUGGAGUCACCACUUAAACCGCGGGCCGCUCAUUCCGCUGUCCGCGCCUUGGUUCCCUCCUAAGGAAAGCGGAGAUCCCUACUAACAGUCCCCACCUCUCGGGCCGCCAGAAGUUAACCACCCUGUGCCCUUCGAACCGGGCUGUUGCGCUCCGCAAACCGAGGUGCACAGAUGCUGCCCCAGAACCAUCUAUUAAUAAUGAGCCGGUGAACGACCUCAGUCAGGAGAAGCUCUGCUGGAACAGGAGGGGACUUACGGAAGAUUUUGUUGCCUCAGUUUUUCCCCUUAGAACUAAUGGGCCAGCCACAGGCAGGUGAACGCAAUGGAGACGUUCUGGUCAAAUUCGAUUGCCACCUGGAAGAGGAAGGCACAGGUGAGCCUGAACUCUGAGCUUUAAGAGAGAAGGUACUGAAGUUCCCAUACUUGCAGUGCUGCAAAGAUCAACAUUUCUUCUUCCGUGCAGUCAAUUUCUUCCAAGAGGAUGGCCCACCUGGCUUGUUCAUAGAGUUGGUUGAUUCGGACAGCGUCGUACUAAGGGAAGAAACAGGCGGAGGCGAAGCAUUUUGUGCUGAGGGGUGAAGAGAAGCUUUGCGUCUGCCUGGACCCCACAUUUGUCCAGAGUCCAGUG